CUGUGUACUAUACUAAACCAAUCCUUACCAAUAUAUUUGUUUAUUCUAUACAGAAGCCAUGUCCACUGUGCCAUGGAAAGUUUGCGUUAACGCACCUUUUUGCUCUGGUUGGUCCACUUCUACUACCACGCUAUGGAGCCUGGGGAGCUCGCGGAUCUGCCUCCCCUGACUCAACCGCCGGCCAUGGGCUCCAACCAAACCAUAAAUAACACAUAGCGUUUCCUGAUAGAUGCCGCUGCUACAAGCCGCAAAUGUGAGACUGCAGCUCCGGAAUCAUAAAUACAGCAAAACCAGCGGCAAUCUUGUUUCUAGUUGUGAGGGGCGCCAUAGGAUUUCUAUGCUGUAAAAUAAUAGCAAUAUUCAGCAAAUUACUGUACUUUCUUCUGGAGCUCCAGAACAUGUGACCGCUUCCAGCCACUGCUUGCAUGCACCCCCUUGACUUUUACUUUUAAUAUGGAUUGAUGUAUUAAAGAUUUAAUAUAAA